AGCGCUUCUCCUAAGGAGGCCACUGGUGCGCUCCAACGGAGAAGAAAAUUUGAGGGAGAUUAGGGUUUCUGAGGGCGGUUUAUUGGGGGGGAAGAGAGAGAGAGUGAGUGAGUGUAGAGAGAUGGAGGGAGGGGAGGAGAAGAGGGCGGCGAAUCCGCGGUGCUACAUGGAUAUCAGCAUCGGAGGGGAGAUGGAAGGGAGGAUCGUGGUGGAGCUCUAUGACGGGGUGGCGCCGAGGACGGCGGAGAACUUCAGGGCGCUGUGCACCGGGGAGAAAGGCAUCGGGCCUAAUACCGGCGUGCCGCUCCACUACAAGGGUACAUGUUUUCAUCGUGUUAUCAAAGGUUUUAUGAUACAAGGUGGAGAUAUAUCCAUGGGUGAUGGAACUGGAGGAGAAUCCAUAUAUGGACUAAAAUUUGAGGAUGAGAACUUUUUAUUGAAACAUGAAAGAAAAGGAAUGCUAUCAAUGGCCAAUUCUGGCCCCAACACCAAUGGCUCUCAGUUCUUUAUUACUACCACUAGAACAUCUCAUCUAGAUGGAAAACAUGUUGUGUUUGGCAAGGUGGUUAAAGGUAUGGGAAUCAUUUGGGCAGUUGAGCAUACUCCUGUUGGAGAUGGUGAUUAUCCCAUUGUUGAUGUAAUAAUUGCGGAUUGUGGAGAACUUUCUGAAGGGGCUGAUGAUGGAGUUUCAGAUUUUUUCAAAGAUGGUGAUAUGUAUCCAGAUUGGCCCAACGACCUUGAUGAGAAGCCAAGCAAGGUCUCAUGGUGGAUGAAUGCUGUGGACUCUGCUAAGGCUUUUGGAAAUGACUACUUCAAGAAACAGGACUUUAAGAUGGCUCUUAGAAAGUACCGUAAGGGUCUGCGCUACUUGGAUGUUUGCUGGGACAAAGAAGAGAUUGAUGAAGAGAAGAGCUUGUUGUUGCGGAAGACAAAGUCUAUUCUACUCACAAAUAGCUCUGCAUGCAAAUUGAAAUUAGGAAAUUCCAAGGGUGCCUUAUUAGAUGCUGACUUUGCAUUGCGCGAAAGAGAGGGUAAUGCCAAAGCAUAUUACCGCCAAGGCCAGGCACACAUGUCACUUAAUGAUGUGGAUGCUGCAGUGGAAAGUUUCAAGAAGGCACUAGAGUUAGAGCCAAAUGAUGGAGGCAUAAAGAAAGAGCUUGCUGCUGCAAAGAAGAAGAUUGCUGAUAGACGGGAUCAAGAACGAAAGGCUUAUUCCAGAAUGUUCCAAGUCUCAGUAAAAUCAGAUGCAAAUAAUGAGGGGAGACGUUGCUGAAAAAAUUCAGGUCUAAAAAAUUUAGUGGAAAUCUUUUGACAAGUGUGUAGAUAUAUCAGGUUCUCAUUUAACAUAGAAAGGUAUAUAAUUGGGACUGAAGAAAAAAAAAAGUCCCGAUCCCUUGAGAUGGAUGUAUACAGAAAAGGAUAAAGAAGUUUAAGCCAUUUUUUCUCAAAAAUAGUUGGUGUUGCAUCAGGAUAUUGUAGUAAUAGGCUGUUUAGAUGAGGGAUGUUUAGACUACUACAAAUAUUCCAUUUGGCUCUCCACAUAAACUCUCAUACUUUUUAUGAAUUGGAUGAUUUAUUCUUGACAUUUUACUCAUUCCUUUGACUUAUCUAUCUCACCUUUUUUCCUAAUCCUUUAUAUUACUGGUAGAUUUUAUAAUUCUCACCUAGCUGGGUUUAAUGCUUCCACAAAGCUUAAGCUUUUGUAAUUUUGUAUGGCAUAUUUAUGGUUCUCAACUGCUUUUCUUGGUU